rnacentral:tRNA from 1 species
UCUUUUUCAGUAUUAGAGUAUUUCUGAUUUCCAAUCAGACGGAUUAUCUUAUAGUGGUAAAAAAAGAA